rnacentral:rRNA from 1 species
CAGCAGCCGCGGUAAUACCAGCUCCCCGAGUGGUUGGGGUGAUUAUUGGGUCUAAAGCAUCCGUAGCCGGUCAGAUGAGUUCUCCGUUAAAUUCAAUGACCUAAUCAUUGAGCUGCGGGGAAUACUAUUUGACUUGGGGGCGGGGGAGGUUAGUGGUAUUUCUGGGGUAGGGGCGAAAUCCUAUAAUCCCAGGAAGACCACCAGUGGCGAAGGCGACUAACUAAACCGCGCUCGACGGUGAGGGGUGAAAGCUAGGGGAGCGAACGGGAUUAGAUACCCCGGUAGUCCUAGCUGUAAACAAUGCAGGCUAGGUGUUGGAAUUGCUUUUUGCAAUUUCAGUGCCGCAGGGAAGCCGUUAAGCCUGCCACCUGGGAAGUACGGUCGCAAGGCUGAAUUCUUGAGAAUAUUAGAAAUUGAUUAUUUUCAAGACAGUUUACUUAAAGGAAUUGGCGGGGGAGCACCACAAGGGGUGAAGCCUGCGGUUUAAUUGGAGUCAACCCCGGAAAACUUACCAGGGGCGACAGUUGAAUGAAGGCCAGAUUAAAGGUCUUGCUAGACUAUCUGAGAGGAGGUGCAUGGCCGUCGACAGUUCGUGCCGUGAGGUGUUCUCUUAAGUGAGACAACGAACGAGACCCGUGCCUCUAUUUGCCAGCGAAUCAAUUUAAUGAUACGGGCACACUAGAGGGACCGCCUUCGCUAAGAAGGAGGAAGGAACGGGCAACGGCAGGUCAGUAUGCCCCGAAUCCCCUGGGCUACACGCGGGCUGCAAUGGCUGAUACAGUGGGCUCCGACCCCGAAAGGGGAAGGUAAUCUCUAAAAUCAGUCUCAGUCUGGAUCGAGGGCUGAAACUCGCCCUCGUGAAAAUGGAAUCCCUAGUAACCGCGUGUCAACAUCGCGCGGUGAAUACGUCCCUGCCCCUUGCACAC